UGUGGGAGCUGGCUUGCCUGCGAUAGCGGUGUGCCUGAUACACCUAGGUGUCUGCAUCGCAGGCAAGCCAGCUCCCACA
rnacentral:misc_RNA from 1 species